ensembl:lncRNA
UCUAAAAAGAAAUACCCUAACUCCCCCUCAAAUUAGAACCACCUAAAGGGGGAAUUCCUCCCCAUUUUCCAAAAAACGAAAUUCAAGCCAUGAUGUAUGUGUGUGUGUGUGUGUGUGUAAAUGUUAUAAUGUGCAUCAGUUACACGUUAUUGAAAUUGAUGAACUGAAUUGAAAAUUAAUUGAAAUUUCGAUUUAUGUACAUUUCAAAAACAGCUAUGCCAGAAGAGACAGUCCUACAUACGACCCCUACAAACGAGUCAGACUCAAGUUCGGAGUCACGCUCUCGUUCUCGAACUCCAGGCAAAGAUAAGAUCACUUUCAUCACCAGUUUUGGGGGCAGUGAUGAUGAGGGAGCAUCAGCUACACAAGCCCCACCUGCGGCGGCGUCAAGCCACACCUCCUCCAACACCGCAGGUCAUAGCAGGGGCUCCCGCCGAAGACGUUCUUCCUCCAGUCACUCGUCCUUUUCCUCCCGCUCCUCUUCACAUCGGUCCUCACACUCAUCCUCACGUUCCCGCCGGAGUCGUCGUUCUCGCGGGGGCAGGGACCGGGACAGCCGUUACUCCAGGUCUCGAUCUUGCUCUCGGCGGCGGUCUGACUCCCGUUCACGGCAACGCAGUGGAGGAGUUGGCUCAAGGAGACGAUACGACAGGACUAGGUCUCGUU